rnacentral:lncRNA from 1 species
GUUUUUCUCUUCUCAGUAAUCCUGCUUUUCCCCUGAGUUGUUUGGGGCCAGGAUGAUUUCCUUUCCUUCCCUCAGGGGUAGAUGCGACCUUCUAAUUUGAGGGAAUUAUAAAAGUUUGAAUCAUAAAAACACCAGAAGAAAGUACUGAAGAAUACUUACGUAUUUUCUGAGGAUGGCUUAAGGUUGAAACAAAGAUUUUGGCUUAUUUGUAUAAACAUUUUGAACUAGUGAAUAUCAAAAAGUGCAAGUGGGGAAAGAAAGAUCCAUGCACAUUUAGCUGUAAAAGUAAAUGAAACUUU